rnacentral:rRNA from 1 species
AUUGAACGCUGGCGGUAUGCUUAACACAUGCAAGUCGAACGGUAGCAGUGUCUUCGGACAGCUGACGAGUGGCGGACGGGUGAGUAAUACAUAGGAAUCUACCUUUUUGACGGGGAUAACCAGAGGAAACUCUAGCUAAUACCGGAUACGCCCGAAAGGGGAAAGCAGGGGAUCGCAAGACCAUACGCUGAAAGAUGAGCCUAUGUUGGAUUAGCUAGUUGGUGGGGUAAAGGCCUACCAAGGGAACGAUCAGUAGCUGGUCUGAGAGGACGACCAGCCACACUGGAACUGAGACACGGUCCAGACUCCUACGGGAGGCAGCAGUGGGGAAUUUUGGACAAUGGGGGCAACCCUGAUCCAGCAAUGCCGCGUGAGUGAAGAAGGCCUUCGGGUUGUAAAGCUCUUUUGUCAGGGAAGAAAAGGUUCGGGCUAAUAUCCCGGGUUCAUGACGGUACCUGAAGAAUAAGCACCGGCUAACUACGCGCCAGCAGCCGCCGUAA